rnacentral:siRNA from 1 species
CGACGAUCAGAGUUCCGGCGGCCA